rnacentral:rRNA from 1 species
AUUGAACGCUAGCGGCAUGCUUUACACAUGCAAGUCGAACGAGUGGCGGACGGGUGAGUAAUAUAUCGGAACGUGCCCAGUAGCGGGGGAUAACUACUCGAAACAGUAGCUAAUACCGCAUACCAUCGGAGCGACCCAUAUCGGAUUAGCUAGUGGGUGGGGUAAAGGCUCACCUAGGCGACGAUCCCUAGCUGGUCUGAGAGGAUGACCAGCCACACUGGGACUGAGACACGGCCCAGACUCCUACGGGAGGCAGCAGUGGGGAAUAUUGGACAAUGGGCGAAAGCCUGAUGCAGCCAUGCCGCGUGUAUGAAGAAGGCCUUCGGGUUGUAAAGUACUUUUAGCAGGGAGGCGGUAUCGACAGAAGAAGCACCGGCUAACUACGUGCCAGCAGCCGCGGUAAUAC